AGUGUUUGGGCCACAAGAGCAAAAUCUGCGUUCUCAAGGUGGAAGCGGCAAUAUGAUUUUCAAGAGUGGACCACUUUUCAUAUCUUCCAAAGAAUAAAUCACUCUCUUUUGCAUCUUUGCAAACCUCUCCUCCAUUAUGAAAACCUAUAGAAAUCAUAUAGAAUUUAUAAAAUACACUAACUC